rnacentral:tRNA from 1 species
UGGUUGGUAGUGCGUCUGCCUGAUAAGUACUAGGUCGCGGGUUCGAUUCCCGCCCGGGCAG